AUACGUAGGGAGCGAGCGUUGUCCGGAUUUACUGGGUGUAAAGGGUGCGUAGGCGGCUCUGCAAGUCAGGUGUGAAAACCAUCGGCUUAACUGAUGGACUGCAUUUGAAACUGUGGGGCUUGAGUGGAGUAGAGGCAGACGGAAUUCCCGGUGUAGCGGUGAAAUGCGUAGAGAUCGGGAAGAACACCAGUGGCGAAGGCGGUUUGCUGGGCUCUAACUGACGCUGAGGCACGAAAGCAUGGGUAGCAAACAGGAUUAGAUACCCUGGUAGUCCAUGCCAUAAACGAUGAUUACUAGGUGUGGGGAGUCUGACCCUCUCCGUGCCGGAGUUAACACAAUAAGUGACCCACCUGGGGACUACGGCCGCAAGGCUGAA
rnacentral:rRNA from 1 species